rnacentral:tRNA from 1 species
GCCCGGCUAGCUCAAUCGGUAGAGCGUGAGACUCUUAAGCAAGAGAUCACAUCUCAAGGUUGUGGGUUCGACCCCCACGUCGGGCU